ACUGAAUUCUCGUGGGUCUGCAGUGCACUGUAACCGUUGCAGAGGGCAAUUGUUCAAAUUGAAAUUGAAAUUUUGUAGCACCAUGAGAUUCAGCUC
rnacentral:pre_miRNA from 1 species